ACCCAGCUGACGAGUCCCAAAUAGAGCGAAACGCUCUACCUGGAU
rnacentral:hammerhead_ribozyme from 1 species